rnacentral:sRNA from 1 species
UGUAUAGCUGACCUAUCUUAUGUAUGAGU